rnacentral:rRNA from 1 species
AACGCUUGAAUACAUUAGCAUGGAAUAAUGAAAUAGGACGUUCGAUCCUAUUUGUUGGUUUCUUAGGAUUGACGUAAUGAUUAAUAGGGAUAGUUGGGGGCAUUAGUAUUCAAUUGUCAGAGGUGAAAUUCUUGGAUUUAUUGAAGACUAACUACUGCGAAAAGCAUUUUGCCAAGGAUGUUUUCAUUAAUCAAGAACGAAAGUUAGGGGAUCGAAGACGAUCAGAUACCGUCGUAGUCUUAACCAUAAACUAUGCCGACUAGGGAUCGGAUGAUGUUAAUUUUUUAAUGACUCAUUCGGCGCCUUACG